GCCGAGCAGGAGGCGCCAUCAUGGGAGUGGACAUCCGCCACAACAAGGACCGAAAGGUUCGGCGCAAGGAGCCCAAGAGCCAGGAUAUCUACCUGAGGCUGUUGGUUAAGUUAUACAGGUUUCUGGCCAGAAGAACCAACUCCACAUUCAACCAGGUUGUGUUGAAGAGGUUGUUUAUGAGUCGCACCAACCGGCCGCCUCUGUCCCUUUCCCGGAUGGUGAGUGGCUGGUCCAGAGAGCACAGUAGACCUGGGAGCCGCUGGGUCUUGUCUGUCUGGAAGGGAGGCAGGACUUGGAGCUCUGGGAGCAACCGGGGCAUCAAGGGUUUGUCUCAGCCAGUCACGAGCGUAGAGCUUGGACUGUUGGUUGGAACUGAGUGUCCAUGGGCAGUGGGCAAGUCUCCUGGUCCUCCUCUCCUUCUCUUUGUGAGGUGGAGGUGUCCUGGUGGCUUCAGGAGAUUGCCCCAAGUCAUAACUGAGUUUUAUGUCAAAGGCCCUGCUGAGGGAGGCCCUAUUGAACAGUCUGCAUUUUUUUUUUUUAUCUGGAGCUUUCCCCAGCUGGACCUGAGGAGAGGCCUGUGGGGUUUAAGAGGUGUGGUGUGAGUGGGGGGUCCCGUUAGAGGGCACAGCUGCCCUGGUCUGGGGAUGCCUCAAGCGGGGCUGAAUGUAAACACCAGAACAACUUACGAUGUACAUCCUCCCCACCCUAAGAUCCGGAAGAUGAAGCUUCCUGGCCGGGAAAACAAGACGGCCGUGGUUGUGGGAACCAUAACUGAUGAUGUGCGGGUUCAAGAGGUGCCCAAACUGAAGGUGAGCUGGCAGGGGCUGGGCAGACCCAUCAGAUCCUUGCUUUGCUGUGCUGGUCCAUCCUCAGUCUUGCCAUCGCUGGUGAGGCAAGCAUCCUGCCUGUCUGAGUGGCUUUGAGGAUUGGUGUGGGUCGUCUCUGGCAUGGUUGAUGGUGGGGUCCCCUGGGCAAGCUUUUUCUGGGGCAAGUUGUAAACUGUUAGUGCUGGCCCCUAGAGCCAGACAGCCUGGGCUCAAGUCUAGACUCCUUUGUCACCUCUGCACAAGUCUUUUUUUGGCCCAGCUUCCUUGCUGUAGUUUCUAGCAUAACACCAGGGAUGUGGUGGUAAAAGUUCCUAGAGAGAAAGUGUUGAGAACAGCUGCUGUCAGCCCAGGGUGCUCCGGGUAGUAAACGAUAGUGUUGGUUACCAGGGCUCUGCUGCGCCAAGGCAGUGGAGGGUGAGUCCUGGCAACCCCUGGGUGACCACACAGGGGUCUGACCUGCCAGCCUUGUCCUCUCCACCAGGUAUGUGCACUACGCGUGACCAGCCGGGCCCGCAGCCGCAUCCUCAGGGCAGGGGGCAAGAUCCUCACUUUCGACCAGCUGGCCCUGGACUCCCCUAAGGGCUGCGGCACUGUCCUGCUCUCCGGUCCUCGCAAGGGCCGAGAGGUGUACCGGCAUUUCGGCAAGGCCCCAGGAACCCCGCACAGCCACACCAAACCCUAUGUCCGCUCCAAGGGCCGGAAGUUCGAGCGUGCCAGAGGCCGACGGGCCAGCCGAGGCUACAAAAACUAACCCUGGAUCCUACUCUGUUAUUAAAAAGAUUUUUGCUGACAGUG
rnacentral:sRNA from 1 species